UGCUAGGGGAGCGAAAGCUGAGAAAGUCGAGGACUUGACCCUUUGAACUUGAUGCGGGUAAUACCGCCGUAGGGAAGCAGAAAAAA
rnacentral:ncRNA from 1 species